GCUUCUCCUGUCCUGCUGAUUUGACAAACUUUCCCAAGAUGAACUCAGGAAGAACACUUACAUUUUUCAGGCUACAUGCUUUGUCUGAGGAGCCUAAACAAACACCCCAGAGAACAGAGGUUAGCUCCGAGGGCUGUCUACCUUCCUGCUCUAAUCUUUACAAUGGUGCCAUUCUUCACCUUUUCUUUCUCUCCGGAACAAUCAGUGGCUUAAAUUGUACCUGUUCCAGCGAGACAGGUUUGCAGGUUUCAUAAGCCUUCAUGACAGACUCAAGCAACCACCCACACCUGCCCUGCUCUAGAGUUCGUCACCCGUCCAUCCUAUCUUCCCACUGCAAGAACAAGGUCUGUUUCAUGUUUUGUUCUAACUCUCUG
rnacentral:lncRNA from 1 species